rnacentral:tRNA from 2 species
GCGGGAAUAGCUCAGUUGGUAGAGCACGACCUUGCCAAGGUCGGGGUCGCGAGUUCGAGUCUCGUUUCCCGUA